rnacentral:rRNA from 1 species
UACGUAGGGGGCAAGCGUUAUCCGGAUUUACUAGGUGUAAAGGGAGCGUAGACGGCUGUGCAAGUCUGAAGUGAAAGGCAAGGGCUCAACCUUUGGACUGCUUUGGAAACUGUGCAGCUAGAGUGUCGGAGAGGCAAGUGGAAUUCCUAGUGUGGCGGUGAAAUGCGUAGAUAUUAGGAGGAACACCAGUGGCGAAGGCGGCUUGCUGGACGAUGACUGACGUUGAGGCUCGAAAGCGUGGGGAGCAAACAGG